GACGAACGCUGGCGGCGUGCUUAACACAUGCAAGUCGAACGGAAAGGCCCUGCUUUUGUGGGGUGCUCGAGUGGCGAACGCGUGAGUAACACGUGAGUAACCUGCCCUUGACUUUGGGAUAACUUCAGGAAACUGGGGCUAAUACCGGAUAGGAGCUCCUGCUGCAUGGUGGGGGUUGGAAAGUUUCGGCGGUUGGGGAUGGACUCGCGGCUUAUCAGCUUGUUUGUGGGGUAGUGGCUUACCAAGGCUUUGACGGGUAGCCGGCCUGAGAGGGGGACCGGCCACAUUGGGACUGAGAUACGGAGCAGACUCCUACGGGAGGCAGCAGUGGGGAAUAUUGCACAAUGGGCGGAAGCCUGAUGCAGCAACGCCGCGUGCGGGAUGACGGCCUUCGGGUUGUAAACCGCUUUCGCCUGUGACGAAGCGUGAGUGACGGUAAUGGGUAAAGAAGCACCGGCUAACUACGUG
rnacentral:rRNA from 1 species